UACAUAUGAUUUAAGACUAACAAACGAAUUGCAUUCUAUAAUGGAAGGUUUCCAUUAGCACAUUUUUAUAGAUAUGUGAAAAUGCAAUCAUUUUUUGUUGGGAAAGACGUUGAUAAAAAAAAUAUCAAACUAGGGAAACAAAUUUUUAUCAAUUAGCAUACUAUAAACACAGUAUGUGUAUUAACAAUUGUUUUAAUUGUUAGUCUAGUUUAAAACCACACAACAACUCCCGAAUGAGGAUUGUUAAAUGUCACUUGCAUACAUCUGACACCAUUUUAAAAGUAUUAUGCCUAUUUUGCUCUGUUCCUUUGUUUGUUUUAAUAAAUAUAUUUGUUUUACGCAGUGGGAAAAUGGAGUAAUCAAUCUAUCUGAGAGAGAGAGAGAGAGAGAAAGAGAGAGAGAGAGAGAGAGAGAGAGAGAGAGAGAGAUGUCCGAUAUAUUGAGUAUCAAUUCAUUAUAUACUGUUAUGUCACCGAAGUGGAUUGUCUUGUUUUUGUAUUGAUAUUAUACAUGUAACUAUUAAAAAAAAAUUUGUUAUUUG
rnacentral:sRNA from 1 species